GCCUGGGUGGCUCAGUUGGUUAAGCGUCUGAUUUCAGCUCAGGACAUGAUCUUGCAGUUUGUGGGUUUGGCUCAAGACAUGAUCUUGUGGUUUGUGGGUUCAUGUCCCUCAUCAGGCU
rnacentral:tRNA from 1 species